rnacentral:rRNA from 1 species
CAUGCAAGUCGAACGAGAGAGAAGAAGCUUGCUUCUUCGAUCGAGUGGCGAACGGGUGAGUAACGCGUGAGGAACCUGCCUCAAAGAGGGGGACAACAGUUGGAAACGACUGCUAAUACCGCAUAAGCCCACGGGUCGGCAUCGAUCUGAGGGAAAAGGAGUGAUCCGCUUUGAGAUGGCCUCGCGUCCGAUUAGCUAGUUGGUGAGGUAACGGCCCACCAAGGCGACGAUCGGUAGCCGGACUGAGAGGUUGAACGGCCACAUUGGGACUGAGACACGGCCCAGACUCCUACGGGAGGCAGCAGUGGGGAAUAUUGCACAAUGGGGGAAACCCUGAUGCAGCGACGCCGCGUGGAGGAAGAAGGUCUUCGGAUUGUAAACUCCUGUUGUUGAGGAAGAUAAUGACGGUACUCAACAAGGAAGUGACGGCUAACUACGUGCCAGCAGCCGCGGUAAAACGUAGGUCACAAGCGUUGUCCGGAAUUACUGGGUGUAAAGGGAGCGCAGGCGGGAAGACAAGUUGGAAGUGAAAUCUAUGGGCUCAACCCAUAAACUGCUUUCAAAACUGUUUUUCUUGAGUAGUGCAGAGGUAGGCGGAAUUCCCGGUGUAGCGGUGGAAUGCGUAGAUAUCGGGAGGAACACCAGUGGCGAAGGCGGCCUACUGGGCACCAACUGACGCUGAGGCUCGAAAGUGUGGGUAGCAAACAGGAUUAGAUACCCUGGUAGUCCACACCGUAAACGAUGAUUACUAGGUGUUGGAGGAUUGACCCC